AUGAACGCUGGCGGCGUGCCUAAUACAUGCAAGUCGAGCGAACGGACGAGAAGCUUGCUUCUCUGAUGUUAGCGGCGGACGGGUGAGUAACACGUGGAUAACCUACCUAUAAGACUGGGAUAACUUCGGGAAACCGGAGCUAAUACCGGAUAAUAUUUUGAACCGCAUGGUUCAAAAGUGAAAGACGGUCUUGCUGUCACUUAUAGAUGGAUCCGCGCUGCAUUAGCUAGUUGGUAAGGUAACGGCUUACCAAGGCAACGAUGCAUAGCCGACCUGAGAGGGUGAUCGGCCACACUGUAACUGAGACACGGUCCAGACUCCUACGGGGGGCAGCAGUAGGGAAUCUUCCGCAAUGGGCGAAAGCCUGACGGAGCAACGCCGCGUGAGUGAUGAAGGUCUUCGGAUCGUAAAACUCUGUUAUUAGGGAAGAACAUAUGUGUAAGUAACUGUGCACAUCUUGACGGUACCUAAUCAGAAAGCCACGGCUAACUACGUG
rnacentral:rRNA from 1 species